UCUCGCAAAGUUUUCAAAGUCAGUUGUGAUAUCGAACUGGUGGAACCCGGUGCUUUUGGCUGAUUUUUUAUCAAAAACAUCAGUCAAUAUGUGAGGAACUUACAGAAUCGGGGACAGAUUUGCUGAUUUCAUAUUUGCCAAGCCCCAUUGAACAUCAUUGUCUGCGGCGAGCCGCUUAGCCCUGGCGAACUACUUAACCAUGUAGGAAAUUAUCAAUGGCAAAACCAAUACAAAACAACUUCAAACAGUCUCGAGUAUUUGGUAUAUUGUUUCGUUUGAAUUCGUAACAAUUAAAAUCAUCUUAACGCAGCACAAGCACUUACAUACAAUGUGUGUGUGUGUGUUUAUCAUUUACUCUGUAAUUUAUACUGAUUAUUUUAAUUAAAACAUCUUCACAUUAAAAGUGGAAAUAAAACACACGUGGAU